AUUGAACGCUGGCGGCAGGCCUAACACAUGCAAGUCGAGCGGAUGAAGGGAGCUUGCUCCUGGAUUCAGCGGCGGACGGGUGAGUAAUGCCUAGGAAUCUGCCUGGUGGUGGGGGAUAACGUCCGGAAACGGGCGCUAAUACCGCAUACGUCCUGAGGGAGAAAGUGGGGGAUCUUCGGACCUCACGCUAUCAGAUGAGCCUAGGUCGGGUUAGCUAGUUGGUGGGGUAAAGGCCUACCAAGGCGACGAUCCGUAACUGGUCUGAGAGGAUGAUCAGUCACACUGGAACUGAGACACGGUCCAGACUCCUACGGGAGGCAGCAGUGGGGAAUAUUGGACAAUGGGCGAAAGCCUGAUCCAGCCAUGCCGCGUGUGUGAAGAAGGUCUUCGGAUUGUAAAGCACUUUAAGUUGGGAGGAAGGGCAGUAAGUUAAUACCUUGCUGUUUUGACGUUACCAACAGAAUAAGCACCGGCUAACUUCGUG
rnacentral:rRNA from 1 species